CCGUUUACUGUCAUGCCAUUGUCCGUUCAUUUUUGCCAGACUCAUGCGUUUGACUUUCCAUCUUUAUUUUUCACUUAGUCUAUAAUUCGAGAGCCUUUUAUAAAAAAAAUAUUACACACCAGAAGACUUUGUUAAAAGAUAAAGUUUGAAUAUUAUAGCAGAAAAAGACCAGUGUACCUGAAGUACAUUUGAAGACCAGGUUAUAUAUAUUACAUGAAUACAGCAUAAUAAAGCUGGUUUAAUUUGAAUUACUAUCCAUUAGGGACAUUUUCUGACGAUAAUUAAUCAAAUCUGACAAGUUUGAUUAAAAACGGAAAAUAAGCCCGUAAACGAUUUAACGUUACCGUACCCUCUUUACUUGUCGCAUGUCGGCAUCUUCAAAUGGCAAAUUUAUUUUACACAAAUUCGUUGACAUGCCAUGAUGGUAGAUGGACACUACAGCACAAUAUAAGCUGAGCUGGAAAUUACAAUUGAUAAGAUAUCACAUUGGUUUGAGCAUGAUUCCCAGCAAGAUUAUGAAGGGGCAUAUAUAUCAUAUAUACAUAGGAAAUAUAUAGUGUCACUAAAUUACUCUCAUACGGUACCUCACGGUCACCUCUGUAGCUGUAAAUUGCGAAACGGUGGAUUCAUUCAUAAUUUUGAGUUACUUAUUGCAAUUGGAAAUAACGUUGAUAAAGCUAACAGCAUUAUGCCAUGAUGUUGAUGGGAUGUUCUGAUUGGACAAAAAGGAAAAAGUGAAUUGAACAAAUAGCAAACUUGAAAUUCAUAGGAAAAAAAGUAGGAAAUUGGAAUAAUGAAAAUUCAUAGUUUCAGUGAUUAUCUUACAAUCAUCAUGAUCAUUGUCAAUACUACAAGUGCAUCAUCAUGAUCAUAUAUAUCUGAAUUCACCUUGGAUAAUUAUACAUUUAAAAUAAGAAUUUGGAUAUAAUAAGAAUUUCUGUGCUGGCGUUGCUACUGUUGGCUUCAUGUACCACCAGCUGGGAGUGUUAAACCUUUUUGACCUUUCGUGAGGGUCUGUCAUGGUCCGUCACAAUUGGUUAGUGUCAUAUAUGCAUGAUUAUGGAAGUUUCACCAACCUAGACAAGCUUUACAGCCCUGGCACGGUUGUUGGUUGCACUUAGAGUCAAAUGACAGCUUGCUGUAUACAUUUGUAGUUCAAAUAGUCUGAAUGAAUCUACAUGUAUGGUGACAAUCUUCUAAAUUACUGUUCAUUCUGAAACUGGCAUUUUAUACUAGUACAUGUAGUAGUCGAACAUAUUAAACAAUACAUGUACUUCAAAGUAUCAAUUUAUUUUGUCUCGCCUUACAUGAAAGUCAUGAAAGUUGGUUGUAUAUAUGCAAGAAAUAUGUAUUACAGUCUUGGGGUGAUGAUGUAAGCUAUUUUUAAUAGAGCUUUACAUUUAUAAAAGCUAAAAGAGCUGGUUCAGGGAAUGAGUGUAAAAUAUUCUGUUACAUUUUAUUACAUGUAAUUGGAUACAUUUUAUUGUAUAUGAGUACCUUGCAAGGUCUACUUGUCUAUCAGGUUAGGUUGACCUGACCUUAAUUUUAUUUCAUGGAUAAUCUAAGUGAUUUAGGUUAUUUCAGUUUAAUACAAUGUUAACAUGG